CGAAGUAAAAGUCGUAACAGGGUUUCCGUAGGUGAACCUGCGGAAGGAUCAUUAUUGUAUAACCGAGGUGCGAGGGCUGUCGCUGACCCGAAAGGUCGUGCACGCCCGAGUGCCCUCACACACAUCCAUCUCACCCCUAUGUGCACCACCGCGUGGGUCCCCCUUUGGCUUGUUCGGAGGGGGGCUUACGUUUUCACACAAACUUUGUAUGCAGUGUAGAAUGUAUUUUUUGUUUUUGCGAUCACGCAAUCAAUACAACUUUCAACAACGGAUCUCUUGGCUCUC
rnacentral:misc_RNA from 1 species